rnacentral:rRNA from 1 species
UGGGGAAUUUUCCGCAAUGGGCGAAAGCCUGACGGAGCAAUGCCGCGUGGAGGUGGAAGGCCUACGGGUCGUCAACUUCUUUUCUCGGAGAAGAAACAAUGACGGUAUCUGAGGAAUAAGCAUCGGCUAACUCUGUGCCAA